rnacentral:lncRNA from 1 species
UCCAGAUCUUAUUCUGUGGAUGACUGUAUUAAAGGUAUUUUUCUUGUGUUCUGUGUUUUUUUCACCAUAAGUGAAAAGGUACUCGUGUUCUAUUACACAGAUUGCUAAGUUAGUUUGGUGGCUGGAUUAAAAGAAACUGUGACCUGUUCUGUUCCUUUAAGAGUGUUGGCAAGCAUGCUUAUAUUGCAUUCUUGAUGCAAAUGUAGCAAAGUGCAAGUAUCAUUCUAGUCAUCAAGACAUUUACCAUAACAGUACGUGUUAUUUUAAUGAAUGAGAUUUUCUUGUCUCAAAAUAAAUUCGCUGUUACGCAGUUUUAAAAAUAAUGUUUAUUAAUAGGUUUAGAACAUGGAAGAACUAAGGUAGUGUAUUUUAUAUUUAUUUACUAUAUUUAAUAGUGGAUGAGUGUACCUUCAUUUUACUUAUUGUUCAACAGUAAUUUUUACGAACAUUUAAACCUCACUUAGCAUGAUCUAAUAGUUCUGAGACUGUAUUGCUAGUGUCUAUGAACAGACAUGGAAACAAUUAGUUCAUAAAUGUUCACAUUUUUGCAACUUACCCUAUAAUCUUCCCGUUAAAGUUACAAUUGUACAAUAUAUAUAUGUUUUCAUUUGUGUAUUUUAAAAACCAAACAUAAUGAAAAUGAUUUUGUCUUUUUUUUGAUACCCUUUGAAAAAGAGAACAGUAAAAAAAGUAGUCCAAAUUGAGUAUUCUUAAUGCUGCAUUUCAUGUCUGCAUCAAAAUGAAGAUAUGAUUUUUUUUCUGUUAAGGCACAUUUAGAUGCCAUGCGAGCUACAAAAUUUACUACUUUACCAUGACACGUUCCAAUUGACGAGAAUGCGUGUGGUUGCAAACUGAGGAUGAAUUUUAAUUCUCCUGUAAGAUAAUAAUGCAAUAUAUGUGGAGAAAUCACUGGCAAUAUUAUAAGUGGUAAGUAGAAUUUGUAGGACAGGAUUUCUCUUUACUAUAGCUAGAACUUAGAAUUAUUUCUUUCGUCCUUUCUGUAUGUUGGUACCCUUACUGUGAUCUAAAAAAUGAAGUAAUAAGCUGCAGUAAAAGGCAG